rnacentral:rRNA from 1 species
AACGCUGGCGGCGUGCCUAAUACAUGCAAGUCGAGCGAGCAGAACCAGCAGAUUUACUUCGGUAAUGACGCUGGGGACGCGAGCGGCGGAUGGGUGAGUAACACGUGGGGAACCUGCCCCAUAGUCUGGGAUACCACUUGGAAACAGGUGCUAAUACCGGAUAAGAAAGCAGAUCGCAUGAUCAGCUUAUAAAAGGCGGCGUAAGCUGUCGCUAUGGGAUGGCCCCGCGGUGCAUUAGCUAGUUGGUAAGGUAACGGCUUACCAAGGCAAUGAUGCAUAGCCGAGUUGAGAGACUGAUCGGCCACAUUGGGACUGAGACACGGCCCAAACUCCUACGGGAGGCAGCAGUAGGGAAUCUUCCACAAUGGACGCAAGUCUGAUGGAGCAACGCCGCGUGAGUGAAGAAGGUUUUCGGAUCGUAAAGCUCUGUUGUUGGUGAAGAAGGAUAGAGGUAGUAACUGGCCUUUAUUUGACGGUAAUCAACCAGAAAGUCACGGCUAACUACGUGCCAGCAGCCGCGGUAAUACGUAGGUGGCAAGCGUUGUCCGGAUUUAUUGGGCGUAAAGCGAGCGCAGGCGGAAGAAUAAGUCUGAUGUGAAAGCCCUCGGCUUAACCGAGGAACUGCAUCGGAAACUGUUUUUCUUGAGUGCAGAAGAGGAGAGUGGAAUUC